rnacentral:rRNA from 1 species
AUUGAACGCUGGCGGCAUGCUUUACACAUGCAAGUCGAACGGUAACAGGCCUUCGGGUGCUGACGAGUGGCGAACGGGUGAGUAAUGCAUCGGAACGUGCCCAGAGGUGGGGGAUAACGCAGCGAAAGCUGUGCUAAUACCGCAUGUGAUCUGAGGAUGAAAGCGGGGGACCAGGCAGCAAUGUUUGGCCUCGCGCCUUUGGAGCGGCCUAUGUCAGAUUAGGUAGUUGGUGGGGUAAAGGCCUACCAAGCCGACGAUCUGUAGCUGGUCUGAGAGGACGACCAGCCACACUGGGACUGAGACACGGCCCAGACUCCUACGGGAGGCAGCAGUGGGGAAUUUUGGACAAUGGGCGCAAGCCUGAUCCAGCAAUGCCGCGUGCGGGAAGAAGGCCUUCGGGUUGUAAACCGCUUUUGUACGGAACGAAAAGGCUCUGGCUAAUACCUGGGGCUGAUGACGGUACCGUAAGAAUAAGCACCGGCUAACUACGUG